rnacentral:sRNA from 1 species
UGACAUAUAUAUAUAUAUAUAUAUAUAUAUAUAUAUAUAUAUAUAUAUAUGUAUGUAUGUAUGUAUGUAUGUAUGUAUGUAUGUAUGUAUGUACGUACGUAUGUACGUACGUACGUACGUACGUACGUACGUACGUAUGUAUGUAUGUAAGUCCCUGAAGGAUUU